AAAGGGAGACCUAAUUCAGGUAAAAGACGAAAAAAAAGUAGUCGCUACCAAGAAUCAAUCCCAAAAGGUCGGAGCGAGGCGAAAUUGGCUUUCAAACUAGGUUCUGGGUUCAAACAAGACCUGAAUCAGGAACAAGGGCUAUUAGCUCAGGUGGUUAGAGCGCACCCCUGAUAAGGGUGAGGUCCCUGGUUCGAGUCCAGGAUGGCCCACCUGCACAGGUGGCAAAAACAAGAGAAGCGAGGAAUCAGCACCUUAUCUUACUUAUAUAGUAAGAGAGAAUGCUGGCUCUGAGUACAGAGUCCAGAGGAACCUUGAAAACUGCAUAGAGCUAGGUGAAAAAGCCAAAAAAGAAGACCGCAAG
rnacentral:tRNA from 1 species